rnacentral:rRNA from 1 species
UACGGAGGGAGCUAGCGUUGUUCGGAAUUACUGGGCGUAAAGAGCGCGUAGGCGGUUGAUCAAGUUAGGAGUGAAAGCCUGUGGCUUACCCACAGAAUUGCUUUUAAAACUGAUUGACUAGAGAUCGAUAGAGGAUGGUGGAAUUCCUAGUGUAGAGGUGAAAUUCUUAGAUAUUAGGAGGAACACCGGUGGCGAAGGCGGCCAUCUGGGUCGCAUCUGACGCUGAGGCGCGAAAGCGUGGGGAGCAAACAGG